GAGUUUGAUCGUGGCUCAGAUUGAACGCUGGCGGCAUGCCUUACACAUGCAAGUCGAACGGCAGCACGGGAGCUUGCUCCUGGUGGCGAGUGGCGAACGGGUGAGUAAUGCAUCGGAACGUAUCCUGGAGUGGGGGAUAACGUAGCGAAAGUUACGCUAAUACCGCAUAUUCUGUGAGCAGGAAAGCGGGGGACCUUCGGGCCUCGCGCUCUUGGAGCGGCCGAUGUCGGAUUAGCUAGUUGGUGAGGUAAAGGCUCACCAAGGCGACGAUCCGUAGCAGGUCUGAGAGGAUGAUCUGCCACACUGGAACUGAGACACGGUCCAGACUCCUACGGGAGGCAGCAGUGGGAAUUUUGGACAAUGGGGGCAACCCUGAUCCAGCCAUGCCGCGUGAGUGAAGAAGGCCUCGGUUGUAAGUACGUCUUCGUCGUAGGAAGGAAAGUUAGUACGACCGG
rnacentral:rRNA from 1 species